UGGGGAAUUUUGGACAAUGGGCGCGAGCCUGAUCCAGCAAUGCCGCGUGCAGGAUGAAGGCCUUCGGGUUGUAAACUGCUUUUGUACGGAACGAAAAGCCUCUCUCUAAUACAGGGGGGUGAUGACGGUACCGUAAGAAUAAGCACCGGCUAACUACGUGCCAGCAGCCGCGGUAAUACGUAGGGUGCAAGCGUUAAUCGGAAUUACUGGGCGUAAAGCGUGCGCAGGCGGUUUUGUAAGACAGUGGUGAAAUCCCCGGGCUCAACCUGGGAACUGCCAUUGUGACUGCAAGGCUGGAGUGCGGCAGAGGGGGAUGGAAUUCCGCGUGUAGCAGUGAAAUGCGUAGAUAUGCGGAGGAACACCGAUGGCGAAGGCAAUCCCCUGGGCCUGCACUGACGCUCAUGCACGAAAGCGUGGGGAGCAAACAGGAUUAGAUACCCUGGUAGUCCACGCCCUAAACGAUGUCAACUGGUUGUUGGGGAUUUAUUUCCUUCAGUAACGAAGCUAACGCGUGAAGUUGACCGCCUGGGGGAGUACGGCCGCAAGGUUAAAAACUU
rnacentral:rRNA from 1 species